ensembl:lncRNA
AGACUAAAACAUGUGGCUAUAUUAUAUACUGUUUGAUUGUUUCUAACUGUUAAUAGCAGUCAAUAUCAUUGUGAUAUAUUUAUUUUACAUACAAUAUUUGUCUAUAUUUUAUAUUAUUUCUUUUGUGUAAAUUCUCAAAAGUGAAAUUAUUUGGCCAAAGAUAAGAAUACUCUCUAAGGGGUUAUACACUGACUGUACAAAUUUACAUAGCCACGUGGAAUAUGGAAAAAGUAUGUCCUCAACCUAACAGCACUGAGAGAAAAACAUGAUCACAACUCUCUAAAUAUUAAUUAGAAUAUCAGAACUAUAUCUGAAACCAGCCUUAGGAAAAUAGGGAAGAAAUUUAAUUUCUUUUACCUUUUUAUUUUUCCUGCUCUUAGUUUUCUUCCCAUUCAGCAGGAUUGUAUUUUCCUUCACUCUGGAAGCAAAAAGAGUCCUGGAUCUGUAUGCCUUUGGUUUUUUAAUUUAUUCUUUUCCUUCAGAAAGUUGGCAUCUGAUAAACAGAGCUUUUUGUGAAAGAAAUGCAAGAUAACAGCUCCUGGGCUCUUUCCUCAGCAGCCUCUCUACCUUUCUGUCAAGGUACCACUGUUCUUUUCCAGUCUCCCUUGCUUGAAACCUUGAUGUUAUAUAUUGCUGGAAUCUUAGAUGUGCAAGGGAUUUCUGAGGCUCUCGAUCCAACAUCCCAUCUAAUGUAUGUAUUCCCUUUGUAACAUCUUCAGCAAGUGUUCAUUUAAUCUUGAUCCGAGCCUCUUCUGCGACCUACACCACAGCUGACGGCAACACCAGAUCCUCAACCCACUGAGCGAGGCCAGGGAUGGAACCCACGACCUCGUGGUUCCUAGUCGGAUUCGUUACCCACUGAGCCACGACGGGAACUCCAUGAAUUGAUAGAAUUUUUAAGUGCUUUCCAAAUUCCACAGACUGAAUUACCCCAUCCUCCUACAUCACAUAUUGUUAUAAUUAGUUCAAAGUUGUAUCACCACCCCAGAGAUAUAUUGAUUAGGCCCCUAAUUGGGCAAGGCAUUGGCUGGAUCUUAUAUAAAGAGAGCAGCAUAGCUAAGCCAUAUUACUCUUCCCUGGAAAACUCAGUUUUGCUUGAUUCUCUUGCAAAUUUCCAUCAGUUUCUGGUUCCUAGGGUGACAGAGGAAAUUUCUAAAUCGUCUGGAGAUUACAUAUCCCACACACACUGAAAUCCUCUUAACUGGAUGAUUUAGCUUUCACUACUGCUGUGCCUGUGGGCGAAAAGCAAAAUGUGAGUCUAUUCCAUGUUCUGGUCGCAUUCAGGAGGUGUCCUGUUAAGGAAAACAUAAUAACAUUAAUAUUAUUAAUAUGAUUUUAUUUUUAUUAUUUUUGAUAGAAGUGUGAGAUAUUAGUACAGUACAAGUUAAGAAAUUUAUAAAGGCAACCAGCUGAUGACUGAUACCUGAUAAUCUUUCAUUUUUUUCUUCAUUUUACCCCCAAUAUAUGUCCUCUUAUUCCAAAUAAAGAAAGCAAAGUCUUCUCACUUUUGUGAGAUGAUAACAUAAUAAGCAUUAAAUUCAGAUUUUGGUAGGCCUGUCAGAGCUUUAGGCUGAAAAUAGUUUAAUCAAAUUAUAACACAAAUUUAUACAUAUAUAUCACUUUAAUAAGUAAUAACAUCAUCUCGUAGGAAUUGGUGAAUCCACUUGAAAUUUGUGUUUGAUUCACCUCUAUUCAGAACUUGUUAUUAAUUAACACAGGAGCAACUGGUUUUUGCAUCAAAUUUGAUAUUUCAGCUGGAAAGAAGUGGGAGAAUUUUGAGGAAAUAGUUCUUUGUGAUAAUAACAAACAUUUGUCCUCUAGACUUUUUAUGAAGGUCUC